CCGUGGCUCGAGACGUCAGUGAAUUCCUGAUCCGUGGAUCAGUUUCCAGUAACGACGUCAUUGCUGUGGAGUAAAUGGAGAUAUGGGUAGGUGGGGCGAGCUGCCUCCUACCUCCUGCGGAUGCCGGUCUGGGUGAACUGAGAGUGGCUCGGCGGCGCAACCACCAUCUCCUUAGGUUACGGUGUCUCUGCUCCAGCGCUCAUGGAGUUCUUGAUGCAGCCGUGCAACAGUAGAACCCUCAUAGAGGAAGUGGAUGACAGCGACGUACCCAACUACCCCUGGAGCCUUUGCAUUAUCCUGUUUUGUCAGCGGCGGCUGGCGAGCUGCCGGCGACGAGUGCUUCCAGUGUGGAGGCGCGGAUCUCUGCGGCGGCGGCUGUAGCACCAGGAGGGAGUGCAGAUAGGUCGCAACUCGCAAGUAUCUGAACACUCAAUAGAGCAAAUUGAUCCACAGACGCCCGGCUGGACACGGAGGGUCAGGGUUGGUACUGCAGCACCAGGCCGUGCCCCCUGCCCGGGUAGGAUGGCAACAUUGGAGAAAUCAGUGUGCGUGUUUGCCGAGUCCCCCAGUGACAAUGUGAUUAUGCCAAAGUUAGGCAUCAACUUCGAUACGCUUGGAGAAGCCUACGAUUUUUACAAUCUGUAUUCAUGGGAGAAAGGAUUCGGCAUUAGAUCCAGUGCUUUCCCGUAGCGGCGAUAGUGCACACAGUAAAUGCGGAAGUUGGGCGCUGAGAGCAGCUGUCUCCUACCUCGCGAAGUUAGAUCUAUCAUUCUUGAAGAUGGCGAAGCCGUAGAGGAACCUCCUGCGGGGGACUGGGUGCUUCGGCGAGCAUGGAGUUCUUGAUGCAGCCAAUAAAUAGCAGAAUACUGCUAGAGGAGCUAAACAACAUCGCCAUGGAGCCUGUUCACUACCCUGUGAGGACACCCCCGGUGGUUGAGCUGCUGGCCACGACGACCUCAAGUGCAGACGGCCAAAUCUGUGCUGACUGCUGAGGGUGCUGCUCCAGAGGCAGGCAGUGCAGACAAGGCUCAAGGUUCAGAGCACUCCAUGGAGCAGGUGGAUCCGAAAACUCCAGGGUGGAAGCAAAGAGUGCGGGUUGGUGCUGCCACGCUAGGCAGAGCUCCAUGCCCUGAUAGGAUUACAGCACUGGGGAAAUCAAUCCGGCAAUUUGCAGAAGAACCAGGUGAUUGUGCCGAAGAUAGGAACACGUUUUGACACACUUGGUGAGGCCUAUGAUUUUUACAAUUUAUAUUCGUGGGAGAAAGGAUUCGGCAUUAGAUACGAAAAGAGCAGGGUAAACGUAAACUGGACAAAUGCAUGAAAGAGAUAGUCUAUGGUUGCGCGGUAUGCCAUUGUGUUUGCAAUGUUCUAUAAUUUUCUAGUUCACCAUGUGGAAGUUGUGAUGAAGUUAACUGAAUUUGACUUAUCAAAAUUUUAACAGGGCAAGCAAAUAGUUGAAAAUACUCGGUCUUGCCGCUGUUAAUGCCCUACUCUCAUAAGAUUGUUGCGGUUAAAGGACAACGGGAGCAUCGAUAUGAGCACAUACAUUCAUUGUCUCCCACGUACGGACAGACAAUACACUGGCCAUCACACAAGCAUAUCGACGUGUACAUCAGAGGUCUCGUGAAGCAGCUGUGGCAAAACAAUGACAACUUAGCGAGAAUGGGGAUGUUGUGAACCAGGUUCACCCAGAAGGCGCUGAGAUGGGACAGGGAGGCAGAAUGCCUACUGUUAUGAGGAAAUGAGGACCGAUGAUAACACUUCAGCCAAUCAGUCGGGUGAUAUGCUGACAGGCUUAUUGCCUCCAGCUAAGAGGAAGGAUGUGGGAAAGCCUACGACAAGCAGAGAGAAAGCACUGUAUGAUGGACUGAGUAAGAUGACAAGAUUAUGCAUGAUUUUCAGUGACAAGCACACAAACGGAUACCCUGCCCUGAUCGUGGGGAUGUACAAAAACAGCCUUGGAAGCCAGGAAGAUGCAAGAAUUGUGGCGUUGAAGGCCAUCGUCGAUACAACUACCACAAAGUGGCUGAGCUCAGGCUGAAGAGCUGAUCUGAUCUUGUUUUGUUUAGCUGCAGCACUCUGCUUGCCAAAUUUUAAGCUGCCUUGUACCUGAGUACUAAGUUGUGUUCUUUCUGAAUAAUUAGAACUUGUCUGUACAAAGUCUGCAUUGUAAAAUGGCUGUGCUUUGUGUUCCUUACUGAUAUUAUAUUAUUAUUUGAUCUUCCUGUGUUGCUGAUA